UACAGAGGUCCCGAGCGUUGUUCGGAUUCACUGGGCGUAAAGGGUGCGCAGGUGGUUUGGCAAGUUUGACGUGAAAGCCCCGGGCUUAACCCGGGAAUGGCGUUGAAAACUGCUUGAACUGGAGGGUUGGAGGGGGGACUGGAAUUCUCGGUGUAGCGGUGAAAUGCGUAGAUAUCGAGAGGAACACCUGCGGCGAAGGCGGGUUGCUGGGCUGACACUGACGCUGAAGUGCGAAAGCUAGGGGAGCGAACGGG
rnacentral:rRNA from 1 species